rnacentral:tRNA from 1 species
GCGGGUGUAGCUCACCUGGUAGAGCGACAGCUUCCCAAGCUGUAGGUAGCGGGUUCGAGCCCCGUCACCCGCU